rnacentral:siRNA from 1 species
UGCGGUCGAGUCUAGGUUGCGGA